rnacentral:rRNA from 1 species
UGGGGAAUUUUGGACAAUGGGGGCAACCCUGAUCCAGCCAUGCCGCGUGAGUGAAGAAGGCCUUCGGGUUGUAAAGCUCUUUCGGCCGGGACGAAAUCGCACCUGUUAACACCGGGUGUGGAUGACGGUACCGGAAGAAGAAGGACCGGCUAACUACGUGCCAGCAGCCGCGGUAAUACGUAGGGUCCGAGCGUUAAUCGGAAUUACUGGGCGUAAAGCGUGCGCAGGCGGUUUUGUAAGCCAGAUGUGAAAUCCCCGGGCUUAACCUGGGAACUGCAUUUGGGACUGCAAGGCUGGAGUACGGCAGAGGGGGGUAGAAUUCCUGGUGUAGCAGUGAAAUGCGUAGAGAUCAGGAGGAAUACCGAUGGCGAAGGCAGCCCCCUGGGUCGAUACUGACGCUCAUGCACGAAAGCGUGGGGAGCAAACA